rnacentral:rRNA from 1 species
GACAGAGGGGGCAAGCGUUGCUCGGAAUCACUGGGCGUAAAGCGCACGUAGGCGGCUUUCUAAGUCAGGGGUGAAAUCCUGGAGCUCAACUCCAGAACUGCCUUUGAUACUGGAGAGCUUGAGUCCGGAAGAGGUGAGUGGAACUCCGAGUGUAGAGGUGAAAUUCGUAGAUAUUCGGAAGAACACCAGUGGCGAAGGCGGCUCACUGGUCCGGUACUGACGCUGAGGUGCGAAAGCGUGGGGAGCAAACGGG